ACGGCUACCUUGUUACGACUUCACCCCAGUCAUGAAUCACUCCGUGGUAACCGUCCCCCUUGCGGUUAGACUAGCUACUUCUGGAGCAACCCACUCCCAUGGUGUGACGGGCGGUGUGUACAAGGCCCGGGAACGUAUUCACCGUGACAUUCUGAUUCACGAUUACUAGCGAUUCCGACUUCACGCAGUCGAGUUGCAGACUGCGAUCCGGACUACGAUCGGUUUUAUGGGAUUAGCUCCACCUCGCGGCUUGGCAACCCUUUGUACCGACCAUUGUAGCACGUGUGUA
rnacentral:rRNA from 1 species